GUUUGGGAUAGUUCAAUCAGUAGAGCAUGAGACUUGAUCUCAGGGUUGUGGGGUUCCAGCCCCACCUUGGACA